GUUUUGCAUUUUGGGAUUUUUCAGUUGAAUUAAAAAACUAUUUUCCAUUCAUAUAUUUCAUUGAGGAUUUCUUUAAAUGUUUUUUGUAGAUCUCGUCUCGUCUCGUUCUCGUCAACCCAAUCUCGUGAUGUGUCUCGUCUCGUGGAGUAAGCGUCUCGUCACACCCCUACUGUCAAAGUUUAGUCAGGAAUGA